rnacentral:rRNA from 1 species
UACGAAGGGGGCUAGCGUUGCUCGGAAUGACUGGGCGUAAAGGGCGCGUAGGCGGAUGGCACAGUCAGAGGUGAAAUUCCCGGGCUUAACCUGGGGGCUGCAUUUGAUACGUGUGAUCUAGAGUGAGGAAGAGGGUCGUGGAAUUCCCAGUGUAGAGGUGAAAUUCGUAGAUAUUGGGAAGAACACCGGUGGCGAAGGCGGCGAUCUGGGACGAUACUGACGCUGAGGUGCGAAAGCGUGGGGAGCAAACAGG